UACGUAGGCAGCGAGCGUUGUUCGGAGUUACUGGGUGUAAAGGGUUCGUAGGCGGUGUGGCAAGUUGGGAGUGAAAUCUCUGGGUUCAACCCAGAGACGGCUUCCAAAACUGCCGUGCUUGAGUGUGGGAGAGGCUCGUGGAAUUGCAGGUGUAGCGGUGAAAUGCGUAGAUAUCUGCAGGAACACCCGUGGCGAAAGCGGCGAGCUGGACCACUACUGACGCUGAAGAACGAAAGCGUAGGGGAGCAAACAGGG
rnacentral:rRNA from 1 species